GCCGAAUGCACUGCGACCAGCUCAGCAGCCCGAGCUCUUCGGACGGUGGGCGGAGACCCCGUGGCCGCCGCGCACCCCGGAGCAGCGCACUGCGAGCUCAGGUUUGUCCUAAUGAGGAGUUUGCAUGUUGAAUUCCAUCCUGGAGCCCACAUCCAGGAGGCCUCUGACUAACACAGUGAUACAUGAUUCCAUAUGACAAUGCUUCUUGUCCACACUUGCAUCUUCGACGACAGAUGACUUGAACUGUGACCAUCAAAUUCCACACAAGGAAUCUGCACAGAAAAUUUUAUUUCACAUAAGAAACAAUGGCAAAUUACUAAGUUAAAAAUCACAGUUCAGGAAGAGAUCAUAAUUUAUGAUUUGAAAAACAGGCCUAGAGGAUGAAGUUUGAAGUCUGAUUUCC